rnacentral:rRNA from 1 species
AUUGAACGCUGGCGGCAUGCCUUACACAUGCAAGUCGAACGGCAGCACGGGGGCGAACCCUCGGUGGCGAGUGGCGAACGGGUGAGUAAUACAUCGGAACGUGCCCGGUAGUGGGGGAGUAGCUCGGCGAAAGCCGGAUUAAUACCGCAUACGACCUGCGGGUGGAAAGCGGGGGAUCGCAAGACCUCGCGCUAUCGGAGCGGCCGAUGUCAGAUUAGGGUUGUUGGUGGGGUAAAGGCCACCAAGCCGACGAUCUGUAGCUGGUCUGAGAGGACGACCAGCCACACUGGGACUGAGACACGGCCCAGACUCCUACGGGAGGCAGCAGUGGGGAAUUUUGGACAAUGGGCGCAAGCCUGAUCCAGCCAUGCCGCGUGCGGGAAGAAGGCCUCGGUUGUAACU